GGUGGGCACUUGCUUAAGGAUUGCCAUUGAUUUCGCAAGUUGGUUGGAUGAGGAGAUCUGAGCAAGGAGCCAGAAUUCACCAUAGUUCACAGCAAAAGCUGAUAGGGUUAGCACCAGCUUUGCUUCCCAUGAAUAGCUUGUUAACAGGUUAAAUAUAGAGAGUGUCGUUGCAUGAGCAUCACCUCCGCCCAAACUCUUGUAUGCUAUCUGAAUACAUAAUCGAUUGAUCACAUGUCAUUGUAAAGAAACAAAUAAAACGUAAUCAUGCCAUGUGUAUAAUGCAUAAGGGAUGAGUUUUCUGCAUGUCAUUCUAAGAAAUGAAUUUUUGCAGUAGUUCUUUGUAAUAACCUCGCAGGAAAUUCGAUCAAUGGUAAACGACAGUGCUUCGAGCAAAGCAAAGAAACUGGCUUGAUUUGUCCUAUCAUCAGAAGUUUCAAUGCGUGUUUGGGCAGCCUGCAAUGAAAUCACGAGUCGAUUAUCUACUAUAAAUGCAUAGAAAAUUUGUAUCUGCAUACCCUUUCGUUCAAGUAUCCUUCAUUAAUUAGGAUUGUCAAUUGCAUAUGCUCUUAACUAACACAACAAACUAAAACGUGGAAGUUUUAAUGUUCUUGAAUUAAAUGAUUUCACCCCAUGGAAGCAGCUCGAGCAUUUGGAAAAAGAAGAAGAGUGUUAUUGUGAAGGAGUUGAAAUUUUGAAAUAGAAGUUAUCCUCAAAACAUAUAGUAGGAAAAAGGUGGACUUCGGCAGUAAAAAGUUUGUUAUUCUGAAAAUAUUUUAGAUGUAGAUAAAUGACUAUAUGGCGUAAAAAUUUCUUGUGUUGAUUUUGUAGAUAACAUAGGAGUUGGCUAGUUAGUAUGACAUUGUGCUGGCUAGGAAUCCUUGAUUGGUAUGUGCAUUUACUUUUGUUUUGGCUAUUGAAAAAAAUGAACAAGGUCAAGUAAUUAAAAGCAGCCUGAACAAAAGAAACUGGCAGAAACAUUAGGCCCUUACUACAUAAGAGGUUAUAGGAGUGUUAUACCGAAAUUAAGGGAUCAACACCCGGUGUAGCCCGAUUCAGGAUGUCUUCCACGAGUUGGAAAAGAGGCUUAACAUCAAACUCUCGGCCAUCAGGAGCAUGGGUUGCGUGAAUUUGUUUCACCAUCAUGUUGUCAUCAGACAUGGUUAUCAUGCUCCUAUCAUGCUUGAUCAGUUUUUGUAAGGGAACUGGGUUGAUUUUGGUGGUUUCUGCGGGCUUCAACACUUGCUGCAGCGGAGCUGGGUUGAUCNNNNNNNNNNNNNNNNNNNNNNNNNNNNNNNNNNNNNNNNNNNNNNNNNNNNNNNNNNNNNNNNNNNNNNNNNNNNNNNNNNNNNNNNNNNNNNNNNNNNNNNNNNNNNNNNNNNNNNNNNNNNNNNNNNNNNNNNNNNNNNNNNNNNNNNNNNNNNNNNNNNNNUGAGAAGUAGCAGUUCACGUUGCCUUUAUGUGCCUUGGUUUUACUUUGCUCUGUGUUUUUUCUUGUUUCUUUCUCUACAGAUUUGCAGGCCUUCAUUUAUGCGGAGAACCAGUAGCUUGUUCAAGGGUAGCAUCAACAGCAGACCAUCCAACACUUACACAUACUCAUAACUCCAAAAUGCAAAUGGUCGAUGAGCUACCAUAGGAAAUCUUCACUGACACUUCCUAACCAACACUCACCAUCCUCACCCUUAAUCAGUGAGCCUCCACAAACAACUAGAAGCUUAAAAGCUAUUGAGAUUUUUGGACCCCACACAAAAGCUGUUGUUUGUUUUAUAAUGUUCUAAUGAGAAGUCUGGAAUUCAAUUUUUUCCCCUUCAAAUUUUCUUUUGAAAAUUUCUCUAACCUAAACCUCUGUUACUUUGUGUGUGUUCUAUUUAGAUCUUGUCUUUGGAUUCUUUUGUAUAAAUUUAUAAUGUUUUAGACUCAGAAAUGUAGGGAAAUGAACUAUUUUUGUUUUUGCUCUGUUAUUGCUUCCCUUUUGCUUAUGCCAUUUAAGUUUAUAUUUUCAUGAUUUUGAUCUCAGAAAGCGGUGUUUAAGAUUCAUAGAUGACGGUUGACUGCAUAAAAGUUGUUGGCUAUUUAUUGGACUUAAGUAGUGGAGAUUUAUUUUGAUUACUUUUAUUUUCCAAUGAUUUCUCACUAUCCAAGCAAAGUUUAAUAUUAAGAAAUUUGAUUGCUUCAUACCAUGUUGUUUAGUAUUUAAAGUUUUAUGGUUUAGACUGUUAUUAUUGUUUUAUAUUAGAUGUAUUUAAAGAAACUGGUUGCAUCUGAACCUAGUUAUGGUAAGGUGUAUUCCAAUUAGAAAAUUAGAAAAGUACGUAUGAGAGUAGAUCAUGAAGACCGGUACUAAUUCCUUUGUUUAUUUCAUUAAUGGUUAUGGAAUGACAUAAAUUUUGUGAUAUUGUUUGGUAUUAUUGUAUAUAUAAGAGGGUGAUUGGGACUGCCAAGCGAUCAACUAAGGGAGUCUGGACAGAGCAAAAGGUUAGAAAUUAAAGGUUCUUAUAGGGUUUAUGGCUUUCUGUUGUGUAGUUUUGGGUGUUGGGCUAGUUAUUUGAACAACUUUGAAAUGGGGUUGUGAUGAAUGGUUCUUUGCAUUUACUUGUUAUUUGAACUACUGUGAAAUGAAGAUUAGAUGAAUGACUUCAUAUGCGUUCUUUUUCCCCAUUAACAGGAUCAAGUAUUAGUCUAUGUUGUCAAAAAGUACAAUGGAAAUAACUGGAAAAAAAUUUGGUGCAUAUAACAUUAUUGCUUUCCACUCAUUAGGGUUCCUCAGUAGCAGAAUCUAUCUGAUUAGCUUUGUCAUUCAUAAAUAUGCCAGUAGCCGGGGCAUAAAUUAGUGUUAAUUAAGUUUUUCAGAAAAAAUUAUUUUUACAAUAUUUUUUAGGCUGGCCAAUUUCGCUCAGUCUGUUUCUUUCAACUGUCAAUUUGCGACAAACUUGUCACCUUGUGCAACCAAAUAUGUCACUGGCACAAUAGAGAAAUCUUCUCUUGUUUGUGUCUAAGCUUUUUUAAUAGCCUUUUAAUCCAGAUAGCUUCCUUACAAGCCUGUGUAGCUGCCAUGUACUUUGCUUCUGUUAUAGAUAGAGCCACAAUAGUUUGGAGUUUUGAAACCUAGCUCACAACUCCUCUUGUAAGUGUAAACAAAUAGCUCGUAGUAGAUUUAUUCUUAUCAAGAUAACCUGCAAAGUCUGAAUCAACAUAACUAAUACUUUGAUGUAUCUAAGGAUCCUCUUAACUAUAUUUCAAUGCUCUCUCCCCAAAUUUGCCAUGAAUCGACUUAUCACUCCCACUACUUGUGCAAUGUUUGGUUUUGUACAAAUCAUAGAAAACAUUUCCCAUUGCUGAUGCAUAUGGUGUUUGAGAUAGUUUCAUCCACUCCACUUUAUUACUAGGACUCAUACUUGAGGAUAAUUUGUAAUUUACAAGAAGUAAGGUAGAAACUGGUUUACAAUCAUGCAUGUUAAAACGAUGUAAGAAAAAUUUCAAGUAGCUUUUUUGUGAGAGUCAAAUCUUCUUGUUUUGUCUAUCUCGGCAAAUUUGCAUCCCUAGAAUUUUGUUUGUUGGUCCUAGAUCCUUCAUCUUAAAUAUCUUAGCCAAUUGUGCCUUUAAUUCUUGGACUCAAUCUUUGUUGGGGUUUUCAACCAACAUGUAAUCACGUAUAACAACAAAAUAAUAAAAUCAUCACCCUCAAACCUCUUGUAAUAUAUACAAUGAUAUGAAUUGAGUCUAUUGUACCCAAGGCUCAAUAUGAAGGAAUCAAAUCUCUUGUACCCACAUCUUGACACUUAUUUUAUACCAUACAAAGAUUUAGUUAAUCUGCAAACCAAGUUCUCUUUCUCAUUUUCUUCAAAGCCUUUCGGGCAUAUAAAUUUCUUCUUGAAACUCUCCAUGAAGAAACACAAUUUUCACAUCUAACUACUCAAAGUGUAAAUCCAAUCCAGCACACAUAGCUAAGACUACUCAAAUUGAUGUAAAUUGAACAAUCGGAGAAAAUCACUCAUUGAAAUCAAUACCUUCUUUCUAAGCAUAUUCUUUAACCACCAAUCUUGCACUAUACUUCUCCACUUGGUCAUUGCUAUCAUGUUUGAUCUUAUAGACCUACUUAUUUCCAAUAAUUUUUCUUCCAAGUGGUGGGGGCACAAAUUUCCAUGUCUGGUUCUUAUGCAAGGAUUUAACCUUCUAUUGCUUUGUUGUCAUCCAUAAAAAUGAAUAUGGACUGUUUAUGACCUCUUGAUAAUUUGAAGGCUCUUUAUCUUCUAAAGGAGACAAUAUGCAACAUUAAUUACUAUACCAAACUUUAAGUGCCAAGAAGGUUCUCUUCUUUCUUGGAUUGAUUACUGCACUUUAGGUGUCUAAACCUCAACUAGUAUUUGUUCAUUAUGCUUUGGAACUACUUCAAAAGGUUCUGGCUAUUCCUGUUCUGACUAUUUGUUUCCAAUGAAACUUAUAGUAUAUGUCUUCUUCAUUAGUGUGUUAUCUCAUUCUUCACUUUGUAACAUGUUUUCUAUAAAAAUGACAUCUCUACUGAUGAUAACAUUACAGGCAAUAGGAUCCCACAAACAAUAUCCCUUUACUUCAUUAGAAUACCCCAAGAAUAUGCAUUUUCUGGAUUUUGGAGCUAGCUUUGUUCUAUCUUGGUCAUUAUACAUCACAUAAGCAAAACACCUAAAUAUGUGUAAGAAGAAACUGUUUGUUGGCUUAUUAGUCCACAUCUCCAUAGGUGUCCUCAUCUCAAUUAUUGUUGAUGGAGAUUUAUUAAUUAUAUAGUAAGAAGUUUUGGCUACUUCAACCCAAAAUGUUUUGGGUAGUCCUACAAUCUUUAACAUAGCUCUCAUUAUUUCUACUAGAGUUCUAUUUGUUUGGUCUACUAUGUCAUUUUGUUGUGGAGUGUAAGCAAUAGUUUUCUAUCAUUGUAUGCCUUCUUAACUACAAAAUACAUCAAACUCCUGGUUACAAAAUUUUCCUUCAUCGUCUAUCCUCAAAUAUUUAAUAUUUUUUCUCCUUUCAAGCUCCCUCUACGCUUUAAAGGCUUUGAUUAGUGGAAAGACAUCUAACUUUUUGUUGAUGGGGUAAACCCAACAUCUUAUGGAGUAGUCAUUUACAAACAACACCAAAUGGUUUGUGCCCCUAGGAAAUAUGACCGGUGACUCCCAAACAUUAGAAUGAAUCAAGUCUAAAAUGCCCUUACUUCUUAUAAUAGAUCUACUAAAUCAUAAUGUGUUGCUUAUUGAUAACACAGUACUCACAAAAGGUUAUAGUUUUGAGUCCAAAAAGCAAUUUUUUAUCAAAGAGAAUUUUCAAUUCUUUUUCUGACAUGUGACCAAGUUUGUGAUGUCACCUUAUUGUCAAUUCUUCUCUAGAGUUUGCAACAGAAGUCUCCAUCUCUUUAUAUGUUCUCUCAUGCAACAUGUACAAAUUUACAGCAAUCUUAUCUACUUUCAUCAUCACAAGAGCACCUUUGAUAACCUUCAUGAUUCCCCUUUUAGCAUGGAAUUCAUAUCCAAGGUCAUCCAAUUGUCUCAUUGAUAGCAGAUUCUUCUUUAAGCCCUUCACAUGUCGUACUUCUAGAAUAAUGUGAAUCAUACCAUCAUCCAUCUUUACUUUGGUAAAGUUAAUGUCAACAAUAUCUAAGGCAUGAUUAUUACCCAUUUACACUAAUCCUCCUAAGAUAGCUAGGUUCAUAUUGGUGAAACCAUUCUCUAUAAGAAGUCAUGUGUAAUGUUGUUGUUGAGUUCAUUAACCAAACUCUAACAAAUCUUUGUCUUCUGCAAUUGUUGUUGCAUCACUGUACAAGAUUUUGUUUUCAACCAAAGUACUUAUUUCACAACUCUGAGUAUUUGAUGAUGCAAUUUUUUUCCUUUUCACGUUUUUCUCUACCCUUCCUUUGUAGUGUCAAUACUCUUUGAGAAAUUAAAGGUUAUGCUUAAAUAAGAAAAACACCCAAGAGGGGGGUGAAUUGGGUUUUUCAAAAACUUUUUCAACACAACAAAUUCAAGCACAAUAUAAUAAAAAAUAAAGAGAUAGAGUUAGAGAAUUCAAACUCAGAUUUUAUAGUGGUUCGGUACUUCCUUGCCUACAUCCACUAUGCUCAAUCUCCUAACCAAGUGAGGAUUCCACUAACUUGAAGCUUCAACCAAGCUUCCAAUCUUCUUACACUUAGAUUCCGGCUCCAAUUGGCUCUUGCACAAUCUCUUCAAGAUUCAAACCUCUUGAAGGCUUUAACACUCAGUUUUUACAAGAAUGAAUCCCUCAACCUAUCUCAAUGAUAUCUCAAAUACAAAACAAAGUUAGGAUGACUCACAAGGGUGCACUAAAAGAUAUGCAAGUGAGGAUUUAAUGCACUAAAAAGGAAAUGAGAGAUUUUAAGGCAAGAACAAGUAGGUAGACAAUUGAUUGCAAGUGUUCUCUCUGUCAUAAAUGAAGUGGAGCUAUCAAUUUAUAGGUUUCUAAGCUCGGGAGCCAAGAACAGCAAAAAGCAGCCUCAACCGGUCGAGCUGGGGGUCGACUGGUUCACUAGUCGUUGGAGCAUUUAAUGCUUUGGCAGGUUACCGUUGCUGUGGCAAGUUACCGUUGCCUCGACUAGACCUCGAUCGGGAAGAAGGGAACCUCAAUCGAGAAGGGAAGGCUACUGGAAGAGAGAGAGUGUUUUUUAUACUCCUCGACCAGACCUCGACCGGACAAGGGCAACCGGUCGAUCGGUUCCCUAACCGGUUGAGCCGGUUGGCCAGAGCCUCGAUAGGGAAAGAAGGAACCUCAACCGAAAAGAGAAGGCUACUAGAAGAGAGAGUGUGUUUUUGACACUCUUCGAUUGGACCUCGAUCGGGCAAAGGCAACCGGUCGAUCGGUUCCCCAAUCAGUUGAGCCGGUUAGCCAGAGCCUCGACCGAUUCAACCUUUUGGCCCUGAAAACCUAUCUUUUUCACUUCUUUUCUUAUAUAACACUUAGGCAAGGUCUUUAGGUAAAUUAAUAUGCCAAUUUUGAAACAUUUUGCCUAAGGUACAUUUGAUAAAACUUGGGUUUUAAUGAAAUUGCAACUUUAAAUAACAAAUCGAGUUUUCCAAAGAUGCAUAAAAAGAUAUGUAAACCCUAAGUGUACCCAUGCAUUCAUCUUACAUUUUUUUCCUAUGAUUAAAAGUCUUCUGAAAGUCUUGAUCUUGUAUUCAUUUGGUCAUUUGAUGAAUUUUUGAAUUUAUACCCGAGAUUCUUUACCAUUCAAACCAAUUAGUCACUCAACCAUGGUUUGCUAUCAUUAAAACCUGAUUAGGAGAACCCUUGGGCUAAUAAUCUCCCCCUUUUUUAUGAUGACAAACCUUGGUUAUCUAGGAAAAGGAAAAAAAUCUCCCCCUCAAACUAAUUAUGGAUCAAUCAAUAAAAAUUUAUGAAUGUAAAACCAAGAUAAUCAAGACAUGCAAAUUUUCUAGGAAACAAUGUAAAUCAUGAAAAUAGCAUAUCAUAUAUAUAUAGUAAAGUCAAAUGUACAUGAAACAUAAACAUAUAAGCUAAUCCAAACAUAUAUGACAAUGAUAUGCAUGUAGGUCUCCUAGAUCCUAGAUAUCUCUCCCCCUUUGGCAACAUAAAAAAGAAACGAAGGGGGUCUCAAUGAAAUCAAGGCUGAGAAGGUGGAGGUGGAAACAUGAAGCGGAGGUAAGCCAUCAUGUCCUCAUGCUGACUCUCCUGGUGACUCUCAAUGAACUCAAUCCUCUGCUGGAGAUGAUCAAAUGCAACCUGCAACUGAUCUAUGCGAUCUUCCAUACACUUAAAUCUCUGAUGCAGAUACUCAAACUGAGAAGUGAAGCUAGUCUGAUAUUGAUCCUUGCGAUCAUCCAUGGAGUAGAAUCGAUUAUCACUGACUACUGCAAGCUCUUCUAUGCUAGUGCCAAGUGAGCUGAUAUGAGUAGAUAAAUCCAUCCAAGGCGCAUGAUCAGGAGCAUGAAGUGUCUGAUGAGGUGAUGUCUCGGUGUGAGGAGGCUCGAUGAAGGAUGGCUGAGAAGAUGGUCCCACUGUGUAAGCCGACUCAGACAUCAUUAGCUCAGGGAAUGUGGCCUCAAACUGAACACCCUCAGACUGGAGUGGAGGGAUGUCAAGCUCGGGUUCUUUCUGCUCAAAGCCUCUUUGAGGAUUUAACCCACCAUCUAUCUCUCAGAUCUCGGUCUCCUCCUCUACUCUGGGAUGGACCUGCCCUUAUCCCUGGGCUUGUGUUGGUGGUCGCUCCACUCUCCUAACCCAGGAGCCAUCGAGGGCCUUCUCAAACUUCAUCCGCCCCAAAGACUACUCAUCAUAUGUAUCAUAAAUACUAGGGGCCUUGAAAUUUGUCUCUUUACUCAAAUCAACCCCAGCAUCCUUGAAUACUCGAGUGAGGAAGCGCUCAUAGGGGAGUACGCGGGUCGUGCUCUCGCAGCAUGAUAUCAUGUGCAUCAUCAUCAGAUAUCCCACGUGAAUCUGUCUCCCUGUUAGAAUGGAGUCUACGAGGAAUGCCUCAAUGUAGGAGACCUCAUCUCGAUGCCCGCCUUGUGGCAAUAAGAUGGAGCAUAUCAUGUGAUGAAGAACUCGAUUGAUCAGCAUAGUGAGCCAAGUCUUGGACUCAUAUACCCUGAGUCCAGAUGAAGGAAUUUCUAAAAUAUGGCAGAUGCUCUCUAGGUCCAACUGGAUCUCAACACCUCUAACGGUGGAAAUAAUCGGUCCACCAAGUCCAUAUGUCACUCUCAAAUAGAAUGUUCUCACUAAUGUUGAAAAAAUCGGCUCCGAAAUAGUCACUAUAGGCAGCCACCCCAUCCGUCCGAAAAGACAAAUUAAAAUCACUAAGUGUUUGUUUCAUCCAAAGAAUUUGUAACAACAUAAACCGACUGCUAUGUAUUUGGUUUCUGCCGUUGACAAAGGUAUCGAAUUUUGCUUCAUACUAUGCCAUGAAACAAGUGAGUGUCCUAGGAAAUGACAAGUGUCACUAGUGUUUUUUCUUUCAGCCUUAAAACCAGUAAAAUCGGCAUCCGAGAAUCCAAUCAAUUCAAAGUUAUCACUCUUAGGAUACCAUAAGUCUAUGUCCAUUAUCCCUUUCAAGUAUAUAAGAAUUCGUUUUACGUCACUUAAGUGGGAUUUUUUAGGACAAGAUUGAAAUCUAGCACACAAGCAUACACUAUACAUGAUGUCGGGUCUACUAGCGGUUAAAUAUAGCAAAGAACCUAUCAUGCCUCUAUACAUAGUUGAGUCAAUGGAUUUACCUUUCUCAUCCUUAUCAAGCUUGAUGGAUGAGCUCAUUGGAGUCUUCAUUGUUUUGGCUUCUUCCAUGUUGAACCUUUUGAGAAGAUUUCUUAUAUAUUUUGCUUGAUUGAUGAAGGUUUCUUCAUUUAGUUGCUUGAUUUGAAGUCCAAGUAAGAAGUUAAGUGAUCGCUCGGAUUGUUGUCAUUUAUUGGAUCAAAACAAAAUUUAUAACCUAAUUCACUAUUCUAUAGCAUAUUGUACCCGAUCAAAAAGUGGUUUUAGUACAAACUACUAUAGUAUAGUGGUUUUUAGGUAUCGUCCACAAGGAUGAAUUAUUCUUGGUAAUCAAGGCUUGAAUGAGAUGAGAAGAAAUGAUUGAGAUCAAGUGAAAAUGAUUUGACAAUUCAUGAUAAAAAUUCAAAAUGACAAUGAUUCCAAUUUGAGAGGAAAAUGAAAUGAAAAAUAGAAGAAAAUUAAUAGAAAAUGAAAUUCUCGGAGUUAGGAUUUUCUAGAAAACAAUUUCCAUGGUGAAUAGAUAUUGAGAUCUAAUUUUCAUCAAGUUAUAUUGAAAACCUAAAUUUCAUCUAAACCGAUUUUUGAUUUAGCUUUAGGUAUAGAUCUAAUUUCUCUUCAAAUUAGGUCAUUUAAUCCAAGAGAUCAAUUCAAAUCAUAUAUUCAAUUCAUCUUAAAUUAUCUUCCAAUGAUUCACACAAUAUAACUAUUCAAUCUCAUCAAAUUUAGUAUUAAGAAUUUGAUGAAUCUACCUAGUUUGCAUUGUAGUAAUCAUUCAAGACAAUUUGAAGAGAAAAAUCCCCAAAUUUCAAUUAAUCAAUCAAUUGGAUCAAAUUACCUUUGCAAUUCAAGCUCAUUUCUCUAAUUCACCAUAGAUCUUGCCUCUAGAUCCUUUCUCCUCCGAGAAAAAUGAGAUUUAGUCACUCAUGCUUGGAGAUUUGGUCUCACAAGGCAUGUUUGGCUAAUGAGAAAAUGAGAGAAAAUGAUAUCAAAUGAGAGAAAAUGAAGGAAAGUAGAAAAUUCCUUAAAGAGGAAAUCUGGAAAAUUCUACAAUUAGAAAAUGUAUAAAAGUCCCUAAAAUGAGUAAAUCAAGUUUCUAUUUUAGGCCAAAGUCAAGUGGACACUUGGCAUCAUCUAAGAGGUUUUUCAGAGUCUUAUUCACCAAGAAAUCUAGAAAAAGUGCAAUUUCACACGAGCUCCAAUAAUUUCGCACGAUUGUGCGAAGUGGAAAAUUCAUUAGCACCAUUUUCGCCUUCUUGGAACAUUUCGCAUGACUGUGCAAAAUUUUCGCAUGGUCAUGUGAAAUCAGUUUCCAUUUUUCCCUUUUGAGCUGCAGCCAAAAUCCUUUUUGUUUCAUUUCGCACGACUGUGCAAAUUUUCCUCAUGUUCAUGCGAAAUGGAAAAACAUAGUUUUUCAACUCCUUUUUGUCAUUUCUUCCAUUUCUUUCUUUUGAUUCCACUUCAACUACCUCCAAAUCAACUCCAAAUCCCAAUCCAAACCGAUUGUAUUGCUUUUUUCAUUAUGCAUUUGGAUCAUCGUCAACUUUAUUUGUUCUCUUCAAUUUGAUUCAUCUCUUUUGUCACCAAAUUAUCAAAAUCAUACCUUGAAAUGACUUCAAAACUUCAUAAAACUUCUUAGUAACUCUUGCAAGGGCAACAACAUGUUAAUUGAGUGUUUUAGACAUAAUUACUACUCAAAAGAUGUGAAACUCAUGAGAAUUAUUAUCUAUAAUAUGCUCUUUUUGAGUAGUAAUCAUUGAGUUCUCCCAUCAUGCUCAUUUCAAACUCACUAUGCAUGUACUUAGAAAAUUCUUCACAAAGAGAGACAUUAGUAGCUCCAAAAAUAAUAUCAUCAACAUAUAUUUGAACUAAGAGCAUGUCCUUUUCUUUGGUCUUUAUGAAAAGAUUUGUGUCAAUUUUUCCCAUUUUAAAACCCUUUUUCAGAAGAAAUUUGUUCAAUCUUUCAUAUCAUGCUCUUGGUGCUUGUUUCAAACCAUAAAGUGUCUUUUUAAGUUUAAAAACAUGAUUAGGAAAGUUAAAACUUUGAAAACCGGGUGGUUGUUCAACAUAUACUUCUUCAUUUAUAAAGCCAUUUAAGAAAGCACUUUUCACAUCCAUUUGAUAUAAAAUAAAGUCUUUAAAACAUGCAAAGACAAGUAGCAUCCUAAUGGCUUCAAAUCUAGCUACGGGGGCAAAGGUUUCUUCAUAAUCUAUCUCUUUUUCUUAAUUAAAACCCCGGGCUACCAAUCUUGCUUUAUUUCUAACAAUUAUGCCAUUUUCAUCCAUUUUAUUUCUAAAGACCCAUCUAGUUCCAAUAACACUUUGAUUUGAAGGUAUUGGCACUAAUUCUCAUACUUCACUUCUUUCAAAUUGAUUUAACUCUUCUUGCAUAGCAAUCAUCCAAUUUUCAUCAACUAAAGCAUCAUGUAUAUUUUUAGGUUCAAUUUGAGAGAUAAAAGCAAGAUUAUAGCAAAUAUUUCUAAGAGAUGAUCUAGUUCUUACCCCACUAGAUGAAUUACCUAUAAUUUGAUCUUGUGGGUGGUUGAUGACAAACUUCUAAUCUUUAGGAAGGUCUUGGCUUGAUUCACCUUGCACUUGUUGAGCAAGGGGUAGUGUCAAUGGUGAUUCUUCUUUCUUGGGAUCCUCUCCAAUUUCUUCUUGUUGCCUUCUAUCUUCAAUUUGGAAUUUUCCCAUGGAGGUCUCAAGCCUAAAUCAUCAUUAAAACUCUCUAUUUCUUGGAGAGAAUUGUUAGAUUCAUAAAAAAUAACAUGGAUGGACUCUUCUACAACCAUGGUUCUUUUGUUGAAAACUCUAAAGGCUUUACUUGAAGUUGAGUAACCAAGGAAAAUUCUAACAUCCAAUUUUGCAUCAAAUUUUCCAAGAUUUUCUUUGGUGUUUAAUAUAAAACAUUUGCACCCAAAGACUUUGAAAUAGCUAAUGUUGGAUUUCUUAUUUUUCCAAAGCUCAUAGGGAGUUUUCUUAAGAAUGGGCCUCAAUAAUAUUCUAUUUAAAACAUAACACGAAGUGUUGUUAACCACUUCGACCUAAAAAUAUUUUGGAAAAUUAUUUUCAUUUAGCAUGGUUCUAGUCAUUUCUUGAAGAUUUCUAUUUUUCCUUUCAUCUAUCCCAUUUUGUUGAGGAGUUUUAGGAGCCGAAAAAUUGUGGUUAAUACCAUGCUCAUUGUAAUAUUAUUCAAAAUAAAUAUUUUCAAAUUCUCUCCCAUGAUCACUUCUUAUAAAAGUAAUUGUUAAACCUUUUUCAUUUUGAAUCUUAUUGUAAAACUUUGAAAACUCAUAAAAGGCUUCAUUCUUUUGACUUAAAAACAAGACCCAUGUGUAUCUAAAGAAGUCAUCCACAAUAACAUAUGCAUAAGAUUUUCCUCCAACACUUGGUGUCCUAGAGAGACCAAAUAAAUCCAUAUGCAACAACUCAAGAGGCUUAGAGGUUGAAAUAAAAGUUUAUUUUUUAAAGAGUUUUUUAUUUGCUUUCCCAUUUGACAAGCUUCACAAACUUUGUCUUUUUGAAAAUUUAUUUUGGGAAAGUCUCUAACAAGUUCAUCUUUGUUGAGUUGGGAAAUGAGGUCCAUGUUAGCAUGUCCCAACCUCCUAUGCCACAACCAACUUUGAUCAUGCAUGCUUGAAAAGCAUCUAUCAUGGUCAUCAUAUUUUGAAAUAUUUAUAAUGUAAACAUUAUCACACCUAUGGCCCAUGAAGAUGGUUUUAUCAUUUUGAAUAUCCUUGAUGAUGCAAUGAUAUGCUUCAAAAAUAACUUUAAAACCUUUGUCACAAAGUUGACUAAUGCUUAAAAGGUUAUGUUUUAAACCAUCCACUAAUAAAACACUUUCAAUAAGAGAGGAUGUGCCAUUACCAAUGUUGCCUUGACCAAUGAUUCUUUCUUUUGCAUUGUCUCCAAAGGUAACAUAUCCUCCCUUUCUCUUUGUAAGAAAAGCAAACUUGGAUUCAUCUCGCAUCCACUAUCCAAGAACCACUUAUCCUUCUUUGAACCCUACUGUAGACCCUCUAUUUUGUCUUCCUCGCACAUGUCGUUUAUAGCAAUUCCCUGGUGGCCCAUUAAUACUCAUGUUAGCCUAUCUUUUCUAAGCCACCUCGGAGACUUUGGUUGAGGGAUUAUCUGACCUCUUAUUAUUACCCUUGGCAGCCCUAACUUAGACUUAGGCUUUUCUUGCUUUUUUUUUAGGAUAGCUUUUAGGCACCCUAGGCCCACUUAGGCACCCUAGGCCCAUUUAGGUAACCUUAGGCCAAUUUAGGCACCCUUGGCCCACUUAUGCACUCUAGGCCCAUUUAGGCACACUUGGCCCAUUAGUCAUUACCAUUAGGCCCAUUUAGAUCAUUUUUUGCAUGGAUACAUGGUUUGCAUGGCUUGCAUGGUUGCAUAGCUCAUAUGGCUUGCAUGUGCUUGAUUUUGUUUUUGUUUUUUUAUCUUUCUCUAUUUAUUAGUUUUAUUCAUUUAUUUACUUAUUUUUAGAAAAUUGCAUGAGCUUAAUAAUCAUAUUCAUUUCAUUUUUAUUUAUCUAUUUAUUAAUUUAUUUUGAUAAGGAAUUGCUUGAGUCAAUAAUUCGUUUUAGUUAUGCAUGUGAUCUAUAUUUUUAAUUUCUUUUAAAAUGACAUAGUUUGAAUUUUUAAUUAUCAGUCACAUUUUUUUUUAUUAUUACUCUAACCCUUAUUUUUUCUAUUUUUUUAUUUGUUAUAUUUUGUUUUGUUGCCCGGGAUUUUACAUACUCCAUAUUGAAAAAAAGAUUAUUAAAAAGAAUGAUUAUGGGAAGAAGAUUAGCAUGAUGAAGGUGGUCGGUGGAGUCAACAGGAUGAUUAUGGGAAGAAGAUUAAGAAGGCUAGGUUUUGGCAAGUGAAAGGAAAGAGGGUGCAGCACGUAUGUGGACAGGAAGUGAGGUUGUGUUCAAGAAAAAGAAAAAAAAAGUGGUCUAAAAAGGAAGAGUGCAGCCGCGUGAUUAAGGGGAAGAAAGAUCAUUUUCCGGGCUGGUGAGUUGUCUUCCCAUGUUGGCAGGGUACUAGAGAGGAAGAAAAAGAAAAGAAAAGGAGGAGAGACAGACGAUUGACUGAGAAAAAGAAGAAGAGAGGCUGUGAUUUUCAGAGAGAAUAGGAGUGAUCAGUCGGUGUCUUGAAGGGUGAGGCUGUGAUUUUCAGAGAGAGGAGAAGAGCGGGCUGCUGUUUUUCAAAGAGAUCAAUCCACGUUUAAAAGAGAUUGGAGGCUGCUAUUUAGAGAGAUGGAAUCCGUGUUUUGAAAGAAUUUUGGGGGACUGCUGUUUGAGGAGGGAGUCCAGGUUUUAGAGGGGAUUCGGGCUGCUGUUUUGGAACGGAGAGACACAACUGCUUGUUGAUAUUCAUUGGCUACUCACCCUGCCAUGGUGAAGAUGAAUACAUACCUACCUUGUUGAAUCUGAAGAUGAGAGGGUGCAGUUGCACCAUUCUGGGACGUGAGGAGAACCAUUGAGAAAGAAAGUGGAGGCAACCGCACCAUGCAUUGAAGGAGCCGCACCAUGCACUGAGAUUUCAUUCCUCUCCAAAGGUACCCACACGGCUGCAAGUUGAAGAGGAACUCACCAUAGCCGCACCAUGCAUCGAGAACCAGUCGCACCACUCCUUUGAAGGAAGAUUCAACACACAUCUCCACGUAAAGGAGAUCCAUUCACACGGCUGCCACUUAGAGAAAUAAACAAUCCGCGUACCUACAGAGCCUCCACGGGGAGCAUUUUCAGCAUCAUCGCACCUUUGAGAGAACUUCUGGAACAGCCGCGUCUUUGAGGAACUUUUAGCCAUCAUCCGCACCUUUGAGAGAACUUUUGGAACAGCUACAUCUUUGAGGAACUUUCAGCAUCACCCGCACCUUGAGAACUUCUGGAACAGCCGCAUCUUUGAGGAACUUUCCUCUACAGCCACAUCAUUGGGAGACGAGAGAGGAAUCAGCCACACCCAUCCAGACUUGCUCCUAUAACUUCACAGCCGGCUAGCACCAAGCACAGUACACCUAUCCGGUUGGGUGAGUUUAUCUCUUAUUUUUUUAAUCCAUCAAUACAACAUGUUAAAGGUUCAUUAUGAAUUUAUUGUUAUGCCAUUAAGAGUCAUUGUUAAACUUGAGAUAUUUAUAUCUAUAGGUUAACUACUUAUCCAUUUAUUAAUAAGAUUUAUGUUAUAGGUUAGAGACAUAGUUCUAAAACUUGUCUUAGAUAAUUUUUCUUUAAUUUAAUUUUUGAUUUACGCGAGAUUUGUGUGCGUUAAAAUAGUUAAUAUUAAGUGGUAAAUAUUUGAUUUUAGGAUUGCCAUAAUUGGUGUUAAAAAUAUUUUUAAACUUAGAUUUCAUUUUAGUAAUGUAAAUUUAUUUGAAACUGUUGAUCCUAUGAGUUCAUAUUUCGUUUUAGUCAUACUUAUUUAUUGUGUUAUCUAUUUAUCCAUUUGUUAAUGAGAUUGAUUUUAUAGUUUAGUUUUAAAAUUUGUUUUGGAUAGUUUUUUUUAAUUUAAUUUUAGGUUUAAGUAAAAUUUUAGUUUGUUAAGAUAAUUGACCUCAUGUGUUAAAUAUAUGAUUUUUAGAUUUGCCUAAAUUAGCGUUUAUUUUUUUAUUUUUUUAUUUUUUUUGAGUUUAGAUUUCAUUUUAAUAAUGUAAAUUGAUUUAAAAAGGAAGUUGAUUCCAUGAAUUCAUAUUUUGGUUUUUAGUUUGCUUUCAUUUUAUUUGAUUCAUUUUAAUUAUUUUGGUGUUUUUUUUUAUAAUUCGAAGUUAUCAAUAAAAUCAAUUCCACAUUUAGAAGGUGCCUAUGCUUAGUAUACUCUGAUUUAAUUUCACUCAUCCAUUCAGUUUAGGUAUUUUCUAUAAUAUUAGCUCACUAAUAAAGUUAAUUCUAUGAUUGACAAUUUAUUAUUUGCUUUGAUUUAAUUUGGCUCAUUUUAAUCAAUUUAGAUGUGUUCUUGUGUUUAAUUGAUCUCAUGCUAAUUCUUGAUUGUUAUUCUUAAUGGAUGUGUUUCUUGAAUAUUCAUCAUUAAUUCUUGGUGGGUAUCUCGUUAGCUUAUUUGAUCUAAGUUUGAAUAGUUUAUUGCUUUGGUAGUCUCUAGUAAAAUUUACUUUUCAGAGGCUAUCGGAAAAUAGUGAAGAUUGACCUCCAUUCCCACCACUUCAAUUUUAUCGGUUGUCAAAAAUUCUACUUUGUGAUUUUGUUCUUUUUUUUCUUUUGCUUGGUAUUUUGAUUCAUACAUUUUAUUGUUUUCAAAUUAACUUCUUUUAUCUUUAAAACAUAACAAUAUUCUCAAAAUCUCGUUUCCUUAAAAACAAACCAUUUCAAAAAUUCAUUUAGAGUUCUCAGAAUCAAAAUCCCAUUCCCUUUAAAAAUUCAUUUCAAAGAUUCCUUUAGGAUUCUUAAAAUCAAAACCCUAUUUUCUUAAAAUAAUAUGCAACCAUUUUUUUGAUUGGUUUGCAUCUUUCUCAGUUUUUAACGAAAAUUUUGGUUUGAAAUCAGACUCGAAUCAAAGCUUGUGGUCCCACAUAAAUGGGAUAAUUUUGAGCUAAAUUCGUGUAUAUCAAUUGGGGAAUUGGUGAAACCCCUACAUAAAAAAAUCUUUUCAAAAAGUAUUUUUGUUGCCACUUUUGUCACUUGUUGAAAUUAUGUCUAUUUUUUUUUUUUUUAGGAAUUGUAUACAAGAUGAGUGUGAUAAUUAGUGUUUUCAUAUACUUUGAUAAUUUCUGCUAUGCUAAUUAGAUAACGAGCAUGCUAGGAUUCCUAUAUUCUAUUAUUUAUUAUCUAACCCCUCAUGUCUUAUGGAAGCGCAUUGUAAGUCAUCUAUGUUAUCCAGGUACGUAUCACCUACUUUCUAAAUUUUGUAAACAAUCAUGUCACUGUGAAAUAUGCAUAUGUUUGAUAAUCCUUAGGUGCUUAGAUGUAUGCUAGAUUCGCUAUGAUUAAAUACAUGUUGUGUGCUAUACUUCUAUACUAUCUCUCAUGUUUUAUGAUAGCGCUUGGGAAGCCAUCCAGGUACGCAUCCUUAACUUUCCUUCAUUGUUAUUUGAUCUUGUUAGGCAUGCAAUAUUCGAAAUCAUCUAGUCUACUUAGGUAUCCAUAAUUAACUGAUUAAUGGCCACACUUCCCUUAACUUUGUCAGUAGAGACCUUUAUAGGGCUUAGAGGGGUGCUACCUUUCAAAGGUACCUUCCCAAUAGGUAACCUGAUCCCCGGACUUAACUCGGGUUUUUCAAGGACACGCUUUUCCAAAAAUUAUGGAGUCAUUUUUUUUAGGGUUUUAUUUCUUGUUUUAUUUUCCCUUCAAAAAUAAAAAUAAAAUAAGUGGCGACUCCAACUUUUUUCAAAAAUCAAUUUCUCACAAACAAAAAGCGAGUCUCGCCGAUCGAGUGGGGGCGCACGUGAAAAAUGCGGAACCACACCUACAAAAUAAAAUUCAAGUAGAUUUAGGUACCCAUAUGAUUCGUCCCUAGCAGCGGCAGUGGCAAUGGCACCAUCUGAUUCGGGGUUCGAUCCUCGGCAACGGCGCCAUUUGAUUCGUGCCCAAUUGGUGUCUCAGCUGAUUUGUGUCCAGCUGGUGCUCCUUGAUUGAGGGAGUAAUCAACAAAAUUUAUAAUCUAUAACACCAUAUACUAGGGUAGCAAAGAAAAAGCUACUAUAGUAUAGUGGCUCUAGGAUCGUUCACUGGGAUGGGUUUUCACUUUACAAAUGAUAUCAAUUCAAAGCUGAAUUGGUGCCUUUUCAUUUCAAGGUUAGCUUUAAAAGAAAACAUAAAGAUGUUUGAAAGAAAAGAAUUUGGUUUUAAACUAACCAAAAGUAGUAACUGAUUUUACUUAUAAAGAAAGAUGUUUCUUGGAGUUCAGAUCACUAGGCUCAGAUUCCUCAUACAAAAAGGGAGUUCCGGUCACUUGUUUAUUUUCCUCGCAUUAGAGAAUUAACAUAUAGUUAAUUCUCUAACCGGUAUUGUACAGAUGCUUCCCAUUAAUGGGUUCAAACACUAAAUCCCUCUCACUGAUGCAACUUGCAAUGGUUCAUGCCUCUCACCUAGCACUUGCCAUUCAAGGUGAUCUUUAACCUUGGAUUACCCGUCAAAAGCUCGCAAGAGAUAACUAAUGGAUGUCUCCUUGGAGUCCAAAAGCUUACCAAGUGUUGGCUAUUCUAGAAAAUCCUACCUUCAAGUCACCUCCCAAAGGCUCGCAAGGGGUAAACUAGUGCAUUUCCAUGGUUGGAAAUCACUUGCCUUACCAAGUGUUGGCCCAGGUGACUCUAAGGUGUUUUAAGUUAACUAAAAACAUAGAAAUCACUAACGGGUUACACUUUCUCUUCAUUAAAAACUAAAACAACAAAACUUCCCAAUUAUGCAUGUGGAAACUUACCCGGCUUUCCUCACUCCAAGAGACAAAAAGCUUAGCCUCUCAUCCUCUGUGGAAAAAUCCUCAGAGUUUGGUUGGCUAGAAAAUGAAAAUGAAAGAGAAGACAAGAAUAUAUAUCAAAAACAGAGCAAGUGCUCUGUUCGUUGAUUCUAUAUAUUGGAUUACAUAUAUGAUCCUCCUCUUUUACAGUGGAUGCAAGGGAAUAUAUAUAGAGGAGUUUUUCCAACCUUCCCAACUAAGAAAUCUUAUGGUUGGUGGAUUACAAGGAGAAGAAUGGAAAUUUAUACAAAAAUAUCUGAAGAAAAAUAUCCAAAAGAGUCGGUGCACAAAUAUCAAGAAGCACUAAGGACAUUUCGCAGGUGAAAAUGGUGUCUGCGAGAUUUCGCAGACACUCAAGAGGGCUGCGAAAUAUUUUCGCAACAACAAGUUAAACUCGCAGGGCUGCGAAAUUGGCUUCCACCUUGAGGUUCUCAGCGUUCCAGCUUGCGGCAUGUAUCGGGUAGCUUCAGGAGGAAUUCCAUAGCACUGUACAAAAAGGCUGCGAAAUUCUCGCAACAAAAGGCUGAUUUCGCAACACUUUGGAGUGAUCUGCUUGCAAUGGCUGUAACUCCUUCGUUUCAACUCCGAAUCGUGCACCGUUUGAAGCAUUCGAUUCUUGACUUCCUGAGCUUUGAAAUGGUAUAUAGAAUGUAGAAAAUGGACUUCGGAAAGUGCUCCAAAAGUGCGCAAGAAGACUGCAGCUAGCUUUCCUCUGUUUUCUUCACUAUGUUUUUCCUCUCUCCUUGCUUCUCUCCUUGCAUACUUUGAACGACUUUGGCAAAGGGCUAUGGAGCUCCAAAGCUUGGUUCUUCUUGAAUUUGAGCUCUUCAUUGCUUUGCCAUGGAUUCCAAAUAACUCUCCUCAAUCUUGGAUUGUUUUGGUGAUCAAAUUACUAACAAAAACACCAAAACUUACACAAUUUGAUUAGAAAUGAUUGCAAGGGUCCUUAACAUGUUAAUUGGGUUAAAAGGCAAUAACUACUACUCAAAAGUGUUUAAAAGGAUUAAUUACAAGCUACAAAAUAGCACUUUUUGAGUAGUAAUCACUCCCCCCAACCGACAUAUUGCUAGUCCCUUAGCAAUGGAGGAGAUAAAAACUAAGUAAACUAUAAUAAUAUACAUAAAAGGGAUCAUGCAAAUCACUCCAAAAAAUGAUAUGAGUGGCAUGAUGGACAUCCAUGGAUCAAUAAAGAUGUAAAACUCAACCUAUAAUUAGAGUUGUCAAAGCAUUCACUUGAUCAUAGAGUACAAAGAAUGGAUAUUAUGCAAGUUUAAGCAUCAAAAGAAUUUCCACUCUCAAAAGAUCCAAAUCACAUUCUUCCACUAAAAGCUAAGUGUUAAUGUGAUUAGCUUCCAAGUAUAGUAUGGAUAACUAUCAUCUCCCCCCAACCUAAGUCUUUCUUUAAGCUUAGCAAAAUUAACCAUCUCUUGAUAGGCUAGGAACGCACCUCUUAUUCACAAUUCUUUUCACUUACUAAACUUAACCAAUUCACCCAUGUAACAAGCAGAGGAUCGGUGACUCCCAACCAAUAAAGGCUUAGGGCACCAGGCUUUAAAGGCUUUCGCCACCCCUUCGGACCAUGCUCAGGUUUCAAGGCAAGUAAAGAAGUUUAUUCUAUUUUUUUUUUCUUUUUCUUUUUCUUUUUCUUUUUCUUUUUCUACAAAGACUCAUUGGUCUUUAUGAGGUGUCCCAACACUAUUAAAGAGAGGUUAAAGGUGUCAAAUUAUGAUUUCUCAAGCUUAGAGGGUGAGAUAGUUUCACAUCUUAUAACCGGAAUCUAAUGUAUGUGUGUGCGAAUAGCUUAAGGUGGAAGAGAUAAGUUUGCAUGCAAUGGAGUUUCAACAAUUCAUCAACUUUUAAAAGAGCAUAAUACAAACUCUAAGACUCCUGUAAUCAAGUUGAAACUCGACUUCUCUCAUUUAAUUUUUGAGAGUUAAUCCUUAAUAUCCAUGGAGUUUAAAGCAAAAAUUUUAAAAUUUAAGCAAAAAGCAACUAAAUUACCAAAAUAACUUAGCAUUAUUAACAAUACUUACUUCCUCAACUCUCCCCCCAACCAAGCUGAACAUUGUCCUCAAUGUGACAAAAGCGAUUAAAAAAUAGGGAGGAAGUGGUACCUCCUGAGUGACAUGGAGUUUGAGUCGUGUAGGAGAAACCACAUGUUUCAAAGAAAACAUAAGAGUUAGUGAGUAGAGGAAAUAGAAAAAUGUUAAGUUUAAACAAAAAAAAUGAUGUCUAUGUAUGAUGUAUCAUCAGUAAUACAUCCAAUUCUAGAAUAUAAGACAUCAAAACAUGGAAUUAUGUAUACUAAUAUAAUAUGUAAAGACAAAAAUUAAAGAGAUGAUCAAGUAAUGGUAAGGUCCUGUGGAGCUGAUGUGUCUGUGAUGGCCUCUUGAGUGGGUUGGAUCAAAACUUUGGCCUCUAUUCUGGUAGUCUCCUUAGGUGGCAUAGUCUCCUCAACUAGAGCUCUCAGUUGGUAGCUAUGGGAUUUGAUGGUUUAAGGAGGUCAGUAAUGGAGUGAGAGGCUUGGUGUGUGUGAUCUCAAGGUGCUCGGGGCUCUCCUCUUCAGAUGCAUGGUCGCAGGGCUCUGUUGGCAUUUUAGCAACUUCCCUUGGCUUUGCAAAGUGUUUUUGCAAAUCACCCUCCAUUUCACAAGUCAAUUUCGCAAUUUGAAGGCCAUUUCUAAGCUUGGAGGUGAUUUCGCAACCAUUUCGAAGCUUGGAGAUCAUUUCGCAGAAAAGUGGCAUGUUCACAGACCAUUUUUGAAGCUUGGAGCUCAUUUCAUAGCCAUUUCGCAGCUCAAAAGUGAUUUCGCAGCCCAAAAUUGAUUUCGUAGUUCAUUUCGCAGCUUCAAAAUGAGGAGAACUGUGCUGCAAAAUGGCACUCGUGUGCCAAAGUUGGUUUCGCAGCUGCGAAACACCCUUCCAAAUGGUGUCUCGGCUGCGAAAUUCUCGCUCAGCUUUGUGCGCUUGUCUUCAAACGACCAUAACUUCUUCAUUUCACCUCCAAAUUGUGCACCGUUUGAAGCUCUGGACUUCUGACUUCCCAAGCUUUGAAACAAGAUAUUGUAUGCAUAAUUUGAGCUCCAGGAAGUGCUUCAAAAAUGUGUCCAACAGUAGCGAAAUGGAGGUGCGACAUUUCCGUUCAUGGUUUGCAUAGUCAUCUUCAAACAGCCAUAACUUUUCCGUUUCAAAUCCAAAUCUAGUACCGUUUGAAGCUAUGGACUCAUGACUUCCCAAGCUUUCAAAAGAGAUAUUGCACGCAUAAUUUGAACUUCGGUAAGUGAUCGAAAUGUUUCCAACAGUUGCCGAAAUGGGGGUGCGGCUGUGAAAUUGGGAUUUUUCACAUUUUGGAACUUCGCAGCCGUUUCGCAGCUGCGAAAUGAGAGUCACUGUGCUGCGAAAUGGCACUCAUGUGCCAAAACCAGCUUCGCAAUUGCGAAAUACCCUGCGGAAUGGGACUUUUGGUGCGAAAUCAGGCUUUACCACUUCGCAAUGCGUUUCGCAGCUGCGAAAUGGAUGCUCCUGUGCUGCGAAGUGGCACUCGUGUGCCAAAAUGGGUUUCGCAGCUGCGAAAAUUUUCGCAGAGACUUCUACAGUGUUGCGGAAUGGUUUGGCAACAAAAUGCCAAUUUCGCAGAGGCUGCGAAAUCUCGCAGACCCUUGUUUUUCCCCUGUUUUCGCUCCGUUUGACUCCAAUUUUGCUCCGAUUUUGCUCCGAUUUUUUUUCUUCAAUUUCUUUGCAAUUCCUCUUGAUUUUGAUCAUCCAAAAACCUAUAUUACAUCAAAACAAACUAGAAUUAAAGCAUUGAAAUCAAAAUUAAAGCAUUGAAAUCAAAAUUAAAACAAGAAAAAAAACAAAACAAAAAGAUAUGGACUAGCUAGUCUUUAAAAAGACUAAGUCCAUCAAAAAAUUUGCUCCUGAUUUAGCUUGCCCGGAUCCCAAAUGAAGUUUGCAUCCUUCAAUUGAGACUUGGUUUGUAUGAUUUUCCCAGACAAAGCUUGGAGAAAAGGUGGAGGCAUGUGUUUCUUCAUCAAUUCUUCCUUGAUGACUAUCCUCUGUGGUUCUCUCUGUACAUUAACAUCAUAGCCAUCUUUCUCUAUGCUUUUCCCCUUUUUCUUUCCUUUGAUUUCCUCCCUCUUUUCUUUCUCUGUUUCACUCUCUACCUUAUGCUCUAGCUUGCAUGUGGGCAAAUCAACCUCUUUACCACUCCUCAGAGUGAUCACUUCCUUGACUUCCCUCUUUUGUGAAGGUUCUCCCUCCUCAACCUCCAUUUCAUGGAUACUCAUGGAAUUUUGAUAAGGUUGAGAAGGAGAGUUUUCUUCCUCUUGCAUUGUGUUGAGGUUGGCAAGCCUUGAGAUUGAAUCUUGGAGAAUAUCUAACUUUUGGGCCAUAUCAUUUUGCAUUUCAUCCAUCCUUUUAUUCAAAGUACUCUCCAUACUGUCAAUUCUUUGAUUGAUUUGAGCAUUGAUGGCUUCUUGCUUUUCAAUAAAAUCUCCCACGACCUUGCAAAGAUUCACCAUAGUUUGUUCAAGGUUUGAGGCUUGCUGUGGUGCUUGAGCAGGUUGCUGAUACUGAGGUGGCUGUGGUUUCCAAGAGAAAUUUGGAUGGUCCCUCCAAUUGGAAUUGUAAGUGUUGCAAUCACCUAACAUUUCCCUCUCGGCUGGAAUGGUAGGACACUCUUCCACCAAGUGCUCAUAUGAUAGACAAAUGGCACAAGGCAUAGCUUGCAAUGGUGUCUGAGAGAUGGCUUGCACUUCUUGCAUCUGGUUCAUUUCUAGCUCAUCCAAUCUCCUUUCCAUAGCUGCAAUCUCUGCCUUCAUGUCUAUGCCAUCAUUCAAAAUAUACAUCUCACCCUUAGCAUUAGGUUGAGACGUCAUUCUUCCCAUAUCUCUAGCAUUUGGUUCAUCCCAUCCUCUUGAGACUUCAGCCACAUAACCCAUGAAGUUCAUGGCUUCCUCUGCUAUCUCGUAUUCAAUAUGGCAUGCACAACUAGCAACUUGUGAAUUAAAAACAGAGAACACAAAAGAAAACAAAAGAAAAACAAUUCAAAGAAAGAAAAUUAAGGUAAACUAAAAACUAAAUAAAAGGUAUACUAAAAUAUGAACAAUAAAGAAAUAAAAAGAGUUAGUAAAAGGAAAAGAAAAGUCACCAAACUUGUGAUGAAGAUCACAAGUACUCUAAAAGGGUGAUAUCACUGUAAAGUGGCACCAUCCCCGGCAACGGCGCCAUUUGAUUCGUCCCUAGCAGCGGCACUGGCAAUGGCACCAUCUGAUUCGGGGUUCGAUCCCCGGCAACGGCGCCAUUUGAUUCGUCCCUAGCAGCGGCAGUGGCAAUGGCACCAUCUGAUUCGGGGUUCGAUCCUCGGCAACGGCGCCAUUUGAUUCGUGCCCAAUUGGUGUCUCAACUGAUUUGUGUCCAGCUGGUGCUCCUUGAUUGAGGGAGUAAUCAACAAAAUUUAUAAUCUAUAACACCAUAUACUAGGGUAGCAAAGAAAAAGCUACUAUAGUAUAGUGGCUCUAGGAUCGUUCACUGGGAUGGGUUUUCACUUUACAAAUGAUAUCAAUUCAAAGCUGAAUUGGUGCCUUUUCAUUUCAAGGUUAGCUUUAAAAGAAAACAUAAAGAUGUUUGAAAGAAAAGAAUUUGGUUUUAAACUAACCAAAAGUAGUAACUGAUUUUACUUAUAAAGAAAGAUGUUUCUUGGAGUUCAGAUCACUAGGCUCAGAUUCCUCAUACAAAAAGGGAGUUCCGGUCACUUGUUUAUUUUCCUCGCAUUAGAGAAUUAACAUAUAGUUAAUUCUCUAACCGGUAUUGUACAGAUGCUUCCCAUUAAUGGGUUCAAACACUAAAUCCCUCUCACUGAUGCAACUUGCAAUGGUUCAUGCCNNNNNNNNNNNNNNNNNNNNNNNNNNNNNNNNNNNNNNNNNNNNNNNNNNNNNNNNNNNNNNNNNNNNNNNNNNNNNNNNNNNNNNNNNNNNNNNNNNNNUAUCUAGAAAUCUACUUCAAGUCACUCCAAAGCUCGCAAGGGGUAAACUAGUGCAUUUCCAUGGUUGGAAAUCACUUGCCUUACCAAGUGUUGGCCCAGGUGACUCUAAGGUGUUUUAAGUUAACUAAAAACAUAGAAAUCACUAACGGGUUACACUUUCUCUUCAUUAAAAACUAAAACAACAAAACUUCCCAAUUAUGCAUGUGGAAACUUACCCGGCUUUCCUCACUCCAAGAGACAAAAAGCUUAGCCUCUCAUCCUCUGUGGAAAAAUCCUCAGAGUUUGGUUGGCUAGAAAAUGAAAAUGAAAGAGAAGACAAGAAUAUAUAUCAAAAACAGAGCAAGUGCUCUGUUCGUUGAUUCUAUAUAUUGGAUUACAUAUAUGAUCCUCCUCUUUUACAGUGGAUGCAAGGAAAUAUAUAUAGAGGAGUUUUUCCAACCUUCCCAACUAAGAAAUCUUAUGGUUGGUGGAUUACAAGGAGAAGAAUGGAAAUUUAUACAAAAAUAUCUGAAGAAAAAUAUCCAAAAGAGUCGGUGUACAAAUAUCAGGAAGCACUAAGGACAUUUCGCAGGUGAAAAUGGUGUCUGCGAGAUUUCGCAGACACUCAAGAGGGCUGCGAAAUAUUUUCGCAACAACAAGUUAAACUCGCAGGGCUGCGAAAUUGGCUUCCACCUUGAGGUUCUCAGCGUUCCAGCUUGCGGCAUGUAUCGGGUAGCUUCAGGAGGAAUUCCAUAGCACUGUACAAAAAGGCUGCGAAAUUCUCGCAACAAAAGGCUGAUUUCGCAACACUUUGGAGUGAUCUGCUUGCAAUGGCUGUAACUCCUUCGUUUCAACUCCGAAUCGCGCACCGUUUGAAGCAUUGGAUUCUUGACUUCCUGAGCUUUGAAAUGGUAUAUAGAAUUUAGAAAAUGGACUUCGGGAAGUGCUCCAAAAGUGCGCAAGAAGACUGCAGCUAGCUUUCCUCUGUUUUCUUCACUAUGUUUUUCCUCUCUUCUUGCUUCUCUCCUUGCAUACUUUGAACGACUUUGGCAAAGGGCUAUGGAGCUCCAAAGCUUGGUUCUUCUUGAAUUUGAGCUCUUCAUUGCUUUGCCAUGGAUUCCAAAUAACUCUCCUCAAUCUUGGAUUGUUUUGGUGAUCAAAUUACUAACAAAAACACCAAAACUUACACAAUUUGAUUAGAAAUGAUUGCAAGGGUCCUUAACAUGUUAAUUGGGUUAAAAGGCAAUAACUACUACUCAAAAGUGUUUAAAAGGAUUAAUUACAAGCUACAAAAUAGCACUUUUUGAGUAGUAAUCACCAUAUCUUUUUAGGUCCUUAAGGGUUAGUGACCUUGGAUUUUUCAAUCCAAAUCUUUUUAGGUUUUGCAUUUGACGCAUCCACUAUCGAAGAACCACUUAUCCUUCUUUGAACCCUACAAAAUAAAAUUCAAGUUGAUUUAGGUACCCAUAUCUUUUUAGGUCCUUAAGGGUUAGUGACCUUGGAUUUUUCAAUCCAAACAUUUUUAGCUUUUGCAUUUGAAUUCUUUUGAGAAUCAUUUUUUAAGGGGCAUGUACAACUAAUGUACCCUCCUCUUCCACAAAAGUUGCAAGUUGUAGAAGGACUUGCACUUGAGGAUUGUUUUACAAAGUAGUUUUUAAAAUACUUUUGAUUUUUUGAAGAUUUGAAUCUUAGCCUUUGUUUGUCAAAAACACAUUUUUGGCUAGCUAUAAUCAUUUCGAAAGAUUUUUGUCCACAAGAGAAGAUUGAAAGAGAGGAUGUCAACCAUUCAUUUUUAUUUUUCAAAAUCUCAUUUUCAUUUCUCAAAAUCUCAUUUUCUUUUUCAAGAUGAUUUUUAUAAAUUUCAACAAUUGAAAUUUUUUAUUUUACUUCUUCAAGUUCUUUUUCAAGUUCUUGAAUUUUCUUUUUAAGAGAAUUAUUUUUCAAACUAAGUUUUUCAAAAUCCUCAUAUAAUUCUUCAAAAACAUCCUGCAUAUCUUCAUCACUAAAGUUAGAGUUUACCUCAUCAAGUUCAUUUAUUGCCAUGAAGUACAUGUUUGCCACUUCUUUAUCCUUUUCUUCUUCAGAGGAUUCUUCACUUUCACUCUAAGUGACUAUCAUUGUCUUUUUCAUUCUUCUCUUGGCUUCACUUUUGUAGAGAGGACAAUCAUAUUUAAUGUGUCCCGAUUUUUUGCAUUUGAAACACACCAAAUAUCUUUUCUCUUCCUAUUUCUCCUUGUCACCAUGAGAUGAAGAUUCCUUUUUAGAAAGGUCUCUUCUAGAGGUGAACUUUCUUCCUCUAAACCUUUCGUCCCUCAUGUAUUUAUUGAGCUUUCUUAUGAUGAGGGCUAAAUCAUCAUCUUCUUCACUUGGUUUUUCUUCUUUAACAUCUUCUUUUUUCUUAGUUGUAGCUUUGAAAGUUAUGUUCUUCUUCUUUUUGUCUUCUCCAUCUUGUAGCUUCUUUGCCAAAUUGAUCUCAUAUGUCAUUAAUGACCCUAUGAGCUCCUCCAUAGGUAACUUGGUCAAGUCUUUUGCUUCUUGAAUUGUAGUGACCUUUGUAUGCCACUUUGAUGGGAAUGACCUCAAUAUCUUCAUCACCUUUUCGGAUUCCUUGCAGGUCUUUCCCAAUGCUUCAAGACCAUUGACAAUGUCAGUGAACCUGGUGAUCAUCUCAACAAUAGUCUCAUUUUCUUUUAUAAAAAACAAUUCAUAGUUAUGAACAAGUAUAUUUAUUUUUUACUAUUUCACUUGAUUUGUUCAUUUAUGAGUUAUUUCAAGAAAUCUCCAAAUUUCUUUAGCCGAUUUACAUUGACAUAUUCUAUUAUAUUCAUUUUUAUCCAUAGCACAUUGCAAAGUAAAAAUGGCCUUAGCAUUUAAUUGAAAAUUUCUUCUAUCAAACUCAUUCCAUUCUUGCUUGGGUUUUGGAACCAAGACUCCAUCAACUAGUUUUGUAGGAAAAGUUGGGUCAUCUUCAAUGACAUCUCAUACGUCUAAAUCGGUUGAUUGUAAAUACCAAGUUGUAGACCCUCCAUUUUGUCCCUUUAGCACAUGUCUUUAAGUUCACUUUCAGUAUUCCACAAUGUUUCUUUGAUGGCCCAUUACUACUCGUGUAACUUACCUUUUCUAAGCCACUUUGGAGACUUUGGUUGAAGGGUUUAUCCGGUUCCACAUUACGACCUUGCCUACCCUUCAAGUUUAGACUAGGCUUCACUUAGAUACACUUGGCCCAUUAGGCACCACCUUAGGCCCACUUAGAUUCACCCUGACCUACUUAGAUCCACCUAGACACCUUCUAAAUUGCACACAUUCACCUUAGGUCACUUAGGUCACUUAGGCACCUUUUCAUAAUAGGUCACUUGGACACUUCUUUUGGCAUGGUCCACUUAGGCGUGUUCUUGAUUUUGGUUACUUCCUUUUCUGAGAUAAGAUGAGUAUUGGGUUGACUACAUAUUGCAUGAAAUGAAUAUUUUUUAUUUUUGGGGGUUUGAGUUUGACACUUAAAUUGUUCUGAUCCAUCGCAUUAAUUUAAUUUCUUGUUUUUUUCUAAUUGCAUACAUCUAAUAUUUAUUUUUGUUACCCUUAUCAAUUUAUUUGUCUAUUUACUCACCUAUUUAUACAUUUUUUAAUUCCAAUUAAUUAACAUCUUAGAUUUUUUGUGGCAUGUGAUUUGAUUUUCGAUUUUUAUUUUAUUUUAUUUCCAAUCACAGGAUUUUCUUAUUUCCAUUUUAUUUUUUAAUUUUGCAUGUCAUUUGGAGUGGUCAAGGAGAGGAGGUCACAGCUAAAGAAGAGCAGCCUGCAAGGUGGAAGGACCCACAUACACUCGCAGAGAAAACAAAAACGGAAGCCAUUUAGCCUUUUUUUUUUCUUUUUCUUUUUAUUACUUCCUUUUUUCUUUAUAUAGGAUGGGUGCCAAUUCUCGUUUUGAUUCCAUUUAUUCUCUCUAUUCAUUUCUCCUGGAAUGACCCAACUUCUUCGCUACAUCUCUCUCUCGUGAAGGGUUCAAGGUUUUCUUCGCUACUUCAGAUCUUGCAGCAGCUCGAAUCCUCACCGAUAUUGGAGCGCUCUCACCUGUCAACUCUCAAUUCUCAAUUCAAUAACAUCUCCGCAUUGGAUUUCAAUUCUGGAUCGUCGACCUAGCCGUCGUGGUUGUCGCAAUCGCCACUAUCACCGCCGGAGGUGCCUCUUUGGAUAUUUUUCUCUUUUCCGGCACUAUUUGUACGUUCCCAAACAAGAUGUGUUGUGACGAGGUGUACGGCGUCAAAGCUCGACAACAAAGACGUUGUGCAGCAGUGCAAGGAGCGGGGAUGCCUCAUGAAGGAGGGUCGCCUAUGUCCACCAUCACCGUUCCACCGUUCACGCUGACUACUAUCGUUCGUUUAGCAUCACUGGAUCUGCUCUCUCCAACCGCCGCCCCCUACACCAACGUUCAGUCUCAAUUUCCUCUCAUCUUAAUAGAGCUCACUACUAUUAUAGAAUCGCUGGAGUUAUCGCCUACGUUGGCACCUAAAAAGCGGCGCCGAAGAUGUUGCUCUGUCGUUACAUGCUCUGUCUCCGUCCUCGCCAACUGCUCCUUCGUCAUCACCACGCUUUGGAUCACCGCUGACGCCCUCUCCUACACCAUUUUCGUCUGACGUUAGGGAUGUGCAGCACGUGAGUACCGAGAGCGUAAAUUCAGAGGGGGGAGAGUCAUCCAGAGGAUUCAAAGGUGGAUAGAAAGUCAAAAUAGCGCUUGGAGUCAUCGCCUAUGUCGCUACGCUCAGAUCCAAUUUAGCGUUUCAAUCCUCUUGAGUCGUUUGUGGGCGUUUUUGGCUCCUUCUUCGUUGUCAUAUGUUUCAUUGGAUGUUUCUUUUUCUUGAAUUACCAUGCUGUCAGUCAGAGGCUUCACACUCGUACAUUGCCUGGGAGGCUUUCUUGGUUGGGAUUUGAUGAGUCGCAGUUGUCCUCCCCGUUGUCGUUAGGGGCGAUUGUCGAUAUACUGCUGGGGUUUCUUGAAGAGGGUGUUGAUGGGUGUAACGUGUUUGAUGGGAGUUGGGUUUGGAAUGAGAGCUACCCUCUAUAUCAAUCCUAGAAUUGUUCAUUGCUAGAUGAUGGGUUUCAUUGUUUUGAAAAAUGGUAGUCCUAAUAGUUUCUACAUCAAGUGGCGUUGACAGCCUAAGUAUUGUAACUUACAAGACACGGUUUGCACAUGUGCACUUUCCAUAUAUCUGUCGGGAUUAAAAAAAGAAACAGAGUAUCCCAUGGAAAUGAUAGGUUGCCAUAUAAAUAAGAGAGGGACGAGAAUUAAAGGGGGGAAAUGUUUUUUUUUUUUUUUUUUUUUGUCGGGGAAAAAUAGGCUAAGGAAAUUUUUUUCAGAGAGAGCACACAGAAUUUUGGAGGAGAGCGAGGGAUUUCAGACGAAGAUCGGGCUGCCACUUUAAUCAUCAAGAGAGGAUUUUUCUUUCACUUCAUAGGUUAGUUUUCUAUACAGUAUUUUUAUUUAGCCUAGAUUUGUUUUUUGAAAUUUUAAUUUUUGAUUAAUUCUUUGUGUUAAAGUUUAUAUCUUUAAUUCCGGGUUAAUUAGUUUAGUUUUCAUUUAUUUUUUAGUUUGAAUGUGUUAGUGAUUUUAAUUCAUUAGUUUAAAUAAUCUUGUCAGAUAAAGUUUAUAUUUUUUUUUUAAUUCCGGAUUAGUUAAGUUUUAGUUUAUGUUUUAGUUUGAAUGUGUUUGUGAUUUUAAUUCAUUAGUUUAAAUAAUCUUGUGAGAUGAAGUUUAUAUUUUUAAUUUAGGAUUAGUUCAGUUUUAGUUUGAAUGUGUUUGUGAUUUUAAUUCAUUAGUUUAAAUAAUCUUCUGAGAUAAAGUUUAUAUUUUUAAUUUAGGAUUAGUUCAGUUUUAGUUAAUAUUUUAGUUUGAACGUGUUUGUGAUUUUAAUUCAUUAGUUUAAAUAAUUUUGUGAGAUAAAGUUUAUAUUUUUAAUUUCAGAUUAGUUUAGUUUUAGUUUAUGUUUUAGUUUGAAUGUGUUAGUGAUUUUAAUUCAUUAGUUUAAAUAAUUUUGUGAGAUAAAGUUUAUAUUUUUAAUUCCGGAUUAGUUUAGUUUUAGUUUACGUUUUAGUUUGAAUGUGUUAGUGAUUUUAAUUCAUUAGUUUAAAUAAUUUUGUCAGAUAAAGUUUAUAUUUUUAAUUCCGAAUUAGUUUAGUUGUAGUUUAUGUUUUAGUUUGAAUGUGUUUGUGAUUUUAAUUCAUUAGUUUAAAUAAUUUAGUGAGAUAAAUUUUAUAUUUUUAAUUUGGGAUUAGUUUAGUUUUAGUUUAUGUUUUAGUUUGAAUGUGCUAGUGAUUUUAAUUCAUUAGUCUAAAUAAUCUGGUGAGAUAAAGUUUAUAAUUUUAAUUCCGGAUUAGUUUAGUUUUAGUUUAUGUUUUAGUUUGAAUGUGUUUUUUAUUUUAAUUCAUUAGUUUAAAUAAUCUUAUGAGAUAAAGUUUAUAUUUUUACUUCCGGAUUAGUUUAGUUUUAGUUUAUGUUUUAGUUUGAAUGUGUUUGUAAUUUUAAUUCAUUAGUUUAAAUAAUCUCGUGAGAUAAAGUUUAUAUUUUUAAUUCCGGAUUAGUUUAGUUUUAAUUUAUGUUUUAGUUUGAAUGUGUUAGUGAUUUUAAUUUAUUAGUUUAAAUAAUCUUGCGAGAUAAAGUUUAUAUUUUUUUGGAUUAGUUUAGUUUUAGUUUGAAUGUGUUAGUGAUUUUAAUUCAUUAGUUUAAAUAAUCUUGUGAGAUAAUUUUUUUUUAAUUCCACAUUAGUUUAGUUUUAGUUUAUGCUUUAGUUUGAAUGUGUUAGUAAUUUUAAUUCAUUAGUUUAAAUAAUUUUAUUAGAUAAAGUUUAUGUUUUUAAUUCCAAUUUAGUUUUGUUAUAAUUUAUUUUUUAGUUUGGAUAUAUUUGUGGUUGUAAUUCAAUAGUUUAAUUAAUCUGGCUAAAUAAACUUCAUGUUUUUAAUUAUAAUUUAGUUUAGUUUUAAUAUGUUUUUUUUUUUUACUUUGAGUGUGUUUAUGAUUUUAAUCCAAUAGUUUAAUUAAUCCCAUUACAUAAAGUUUAUGUUUUUUUAAUUCUAAUUGAGUAUAGUUUCAAUUUAUUUUUAUUUUUUUUAAUCUAGGUGUACUUGUGUGUUUAGCCAAUCCUAUGUUAAUUCUUGAUUGUUAUGUUCAAUUUAUGUGCUUCUUGAAUACUAGUCUUUAAUUUUUGGUGAAUGUCUCAUUAGCUUAUUUGAUCUAAGUUUGAAUAAUUUAUUGCUUUGAUGGUCUCUCAUAAAAUUUACUUGUCAAAGGCCAUUGGAAAAUAGUGACGAUUGGUCUCCAUUCUCACCACUUUAGUUUGCUCGAAUUGUCCAAAUUUUCACUUUGUGAAUUCGUUUUCUUUUGUUUUGCUAGGUAUUUUAUUUCUUAUGUUUUGUUAUUUUCACAUAAAUUCCCUUUAUUUUAAAAUCAAAUGUUUUCCUCAAAAGAUACCCUUGAAAAUUUUAUGUUAAAAAAUUCAUUUAAAGUCCUCAGGAUCAAAAUCUCUUUUUUAAAAAUAAAAUGCAAUCAUAUCUUGAUCAGUUUGCAUCCUUUUCGGCUUCCAAUGAAAAUUUUGGUUUUGAACAAAACACGAAUCAAAGCUUGUGGUCCCAAAUAAAUGGGACAAUUCUAGGCUAAAUUCGUGUAUAUCAAUUGGGGAAUUGGUGAAACCCCUACAUAAGAAAAUCUUUUCAAAACUUAUUUUUCUAUCACCCUUGCUAUUUGUUGUAAUCAUGUCUAUUUAUUUUUUAGGAAUUAUAUACAAGAUGUAUGUGAUAAUUGAUGAUUUCGUAUACUUUGAUAAUUUUUGUUAUGCUAAUUAGAUAUGCAUGUUAGGAUUUCUUGUUUUAUUAUUUAUUAUCUAACCCCCCAUGUCCUAAGAAAGCGUAUUAUGAGUUAUCUAUGCUAUCCAGGUACGCCCCCUAUCACCUACCUUCUAAAUUCUAUAAAUAUGAUCGUCAUUGUGAAUUAUGCUUAUGUUUGAUAGUGCUUGAGUGUUUUGAUAUACAUGUUUCAUUAUUCGAUUAUUUCUAAUAAAACGCAUGUUGGAUAAUAUACUAUUUGAACUAACUUAAUUUGAUGUCUUGUGAUAGCGCUUAAGAAGCAGUCCAAGUACACACCCGAAAUCUUCUUCAUGAUUGUGAUUGGUUUCCUUAUUUAGCAUGUUAUUUUUUAAAAUCACCUAGCCUACCUAGGUAUCUAUAAUUAACCAAUUAAUUGCCACAUUUCCCUAAACUUAGUCAGUAGAAACCUUUGUAGGGCUUAAAGGGGUGCUACUUUUUAGAGGUACCUUCCUAAUAGGUAACCUGAUCCUCGGAUUUAGACUCAGUUUUUUCAAAGACAUGCUUUUCCAAAAACUAUGAAGUCAUUUUUUUAGGGUUUUAUUUCUUGUUUUAUUUUUCCUUUAAAAUAAAAUAAAAUAAGUGGCGACUCCGACUUUUCUAAAAUUAUUUUUUCACAAAUAAAAUCGAGUCUCGCCAAUUGAGUGGGAGAUCACGUGAAAACUGCAGGUCCACACAAGUCAUUCUAGUUUUCCAAUAGGGAUAGUCGGUUCCCAUAAAAAAUGGAGCUCUAUGUUUUGUAAAAUUUUCAAACUCGGAUUUUAUUGUGGUUCAGCACUUCCUUGCCUACGUCCACUCUCCUCAAUCUCCUAACCAAGUGAGAGUUCCACUAACUUGAAGCUUCAACCAAGCUUCCAAUCUUUUUACACUUGGAUUGCGGCUCCAAUUAGCUCUUGCACAAUCUCUUCAAGAUUCAAACCUCUUGAAGGCUUUAACACUCAGUUUUUACAAGAAUGAAUCCCUCAACCUAUCUCAAUGAUAUCUCAAAUACAAAACAAAGCUAGGAUGACUCACAAGGGUGUACUAAAAGAUAUGCAAGUGAGGAUUUAAUGCACUAAAAAGGAAAUGAGAGCUUUUAAGGCAAGAACAAGUAGGUAGACAAUUGAUUGCAAGUGUCUUUCUGUCAUAAUGAAGUAGAGCUCUCAAUUUAUAGGUUUCUAAGCUUGGGAGCCAAGAACAGCAAAAAACAGCCUCAACCGGUCGAGCUGGGGGUCGACCGGUUCACUAGCCGUUGGAGCAUUUAAUGUUUUGGCAGGUUACCAUUGUCUCGAUUGGACCUCGGCCAGAGGUCGACCGGGAAGGAGGAAACCUCAACCAAGAAAGGAAGGAUACUGAAAAAGAGAGAGUGAUUUUGACACUCCUCGACCGGACCUCGACCGCACAAGGGCAACCGGUCGAUUGGUUCCCCAACCAAUUGAGCCGGUUGGCCAGAGCCUCGACCGGUUCAGCCUUUUGGCCCCGAAAACCUAUCUUUUUCACUUCUUUUCUUUUCUAACACUUAGGCAAGGUCUUUAGGUAAAUUAAUAUGCCAAUUUUGAAACGUUUUGCCUAAGGUACAUUUGAUAAAACUCGGGUUUUAAUGAAAUUACAACUAUAGAGAACAAAUCGAGUUUUCCAAAGAUGCAUAAAAAGAUAUGUAAACCCUAAGUGCACUCAUGCAUUCAUCUUACAUUUUUUUUUCUUAUGAUUAAAAGUCUUCCGAAAGUCCUGAUCUUGUAUCCAUUUGGUCAUUUGAUGAAUUUCCGAAUUUAUACCUGAGAUUCUUUACCAUUCAAACCAAUUAGUCACUUAACAAUGGUUUGUUAUCAUCAAAACCUGAUUAGGAGAACCCAUUGGGUUAACACUCUUUUUUACGUGUCUUUGUUUUCCAUAAUGGUAACAUUUGACAUUCUUCUUACCUUAAGGCUUUAACUUACUCUAUUUGUGACUCCCACUAGAACCACGUUUUGUUGAUCUUCCUUUAGAAAUAAUUAGAGCCUCAGUUUGUUGAGAAGAUGAUAUUUGUAUUCCUUAUUUUUAUGCCUACUUUCUUCCUCAAGUAUAGUAGUCGCAACAUUAUUAAAGACUAGUAAAAAACUGAAACACCCAAAGUGGGGGUGAAUGAGUGAUUUUAAAAUUUAAAAUAAAGAUUUAUAUAUAUUAUCCCCAAUUUUUAUCUUGAGAAGUACCAGUGAUACCUUGUAUAACCUAAUAGGCUAUACUUGAAAUCUUUAAGUAUAAAAAUAUGAUUUUUAUCUUCUAGGGAUAACCUAUGAGAUGUUAGGGUAACAAUGAUAAUCAAAUAUUCAAUGAUAUAACAAUGAAAUGAAAAGAUAUGCAGUGGGCAUGAGAUUUUUAUGUGGAAAACCCUCAUACUAACUAUAAAGGGAAAAAAAAAAACCCCCCACAAAAUCUAAGACCUACUAAUCUAAAUCCAUUAUGUGAAAUUAGGUUACACAUAUUUACUUGAUCAUCUUACCUUAAAGAUUUUCUUUUCAGUACCUACAACUUGAUUCACAUUCGCAAUGCAGCAACCUUCAAUUGCUCCAAUGGAUCACUUUAGCCUCGUCAAAGGGAUGAAGGUCUUCAACCCAAGAUUCAUAAAUCAAAUCCUUAAAUGAGAGAUUGGGAAUGGUGUGGUACUUUAGGCUUUCUUCUCAAUGAGAACCUCUCAAUAAGUUUGAGAUCACUUUCCAAUCUCCAGAAUCUCUAAAACGAUCUUUUAAGCCUCAAGGGGUUAUAAUGAGGUAUUUAUAAGAGUAAAUCCUGAAGAGGUUUGGUUUUAGAAGACUUCCAAAUCAUAUUUGCAUGAAAGAAUCUUAGUUGAAAAUUCGUGACCACUCUAGCCUACUUUGGUGGCUUGAACGCUUCAAGUGCUCAAGUAGUAUGGAACGCUUGAGCGGUCAUCAUUUAAGUGUUGUUCCCCGCUUAAGCAUUCUCUAUUUUUCAAAAAAAUUAUAAAAAUUAAUUUUAAAUUCAAAACAAUUAUCAAUCCUCUUUAUACCUCAAUAGAGUCUACCACAAGCCAAAGAUUUUUAAACAUAUCUGUGACUUCCCAGUUGGACGAAUGGCAACUCUUGAUCUUCAAUGGAAAGCAAGUCACUAUCUAAAAAGACUUCUAUAUUCAAACAUUAAAAAAAAAACAAAAUUAUUAACAAUUAAACAAGACUCUAUCUCCUAACAACUAGCAUUAUCCUCAAAGCACCAUUGGCCAUAUUUAUGAUGAGAUGAUCAUAUGAGUCAGGUAGACUUUGGAAUAGAAGUUCAACACAUUCUUUCUCUUCUAUGUUAUGCUCCAUAGCUAACAGUUGAUAGAACAAAAAUUUUAGAGUGUUAUUGUGUUUAGUCAUCGAAGUAGAUUAUGACAUUCAAAUAGUGUAGAAUUUUCUUUCCAAGAAGAUUUUGUUAUGCAAUGAUUUGGCUUUAUAUAGUUUUGUUGAAGUACUUGUUGUUGCCUUGAGAAGGUGUAGACAUGAGCCCACAUAUGUCAAUUUGAAUUAGCUCCAAUACCUUCUUUGCUCUCCAAGAAACUUCAUUUGGAAAUGAUUGUCUGUGAUGCUUCCCAAUAGCACAACCUUCACAUAUUUCAUUCUUUUUUUCAAUGGUUUAGGCAACCGUUGUACCACAUCUUCCUUUGAUAAAGCAUUUUCAAGCUAUUGAAGUUCAAGUGCCUAAAUCUUCUAUGUCAUAACCAAACUUCAAUAUUUUCCACUCUAAAAUCCACAUUUUCAGCAUAUUUGAAUACAAAUGGAUGCCCAAAUUUUUUUACAAUUAAAGCAUUAAGGCUUCCCUUUGAACCAACAAUCUUUCUUAACAUGAUUGCUUCUUUUAUAAAUACUACACAUUGUGAGUGAUAAGGCUUCUUUGUUAGUGAACUUUCUUCCAUUGUUGAAGUUUUUUUCUACCUCUUCCUCUUCCUCACCCAGUUCUACCACCUUUGGAUAAAUCACUUCUAUUUUCAUUGCUUGUAGGUUUCCUUUCAACUGAUUUUUUAGAAUGCCUCAACAAUCUCUACUCAUAAGUUUUUAAAGACCUAAAUAGCUCUUGUACAUUGAGUUAUGAGAGAUCUUUUGUUUUUUCAACCAUAGCCACAAUUGGGUCAUAUUUAUUAGGUAGGCUGAUCAAAAUUUUCUCAAUAAUUCUUCUGUCACUAAUUUCUUCACCAUGUGACUUCAUUUGAUUUAUGAACUCCAUAAAUCUAGAAGAGAACUCAUUUAGAGUUUAAUUCUCCCUUAUUUUCAUAUUUUCUAGCUCUCUUCUUAAAUAUUGAAGCCUUACUGAUCGGGUUCUUCUAUAUUCUUGGAACUCUUGUUGGAGGAUGUCCCAUGCUUCUUUACCUUUUGAAGCUAGCUCUCAUAAUUCUUGGGAAAACGCUAUUACCAACACCCUAUUGAAUAAAUAGGAGAGCUUUUGCAUCCUUUUUUUUUUCCAAUCUUUCAAUUGAUCUUUUUUAAUUGGAGUUAGUGUAGCUGCAUUUUCAAGUUCAUCAAAACUAUUUUCAACCAAAUCCUAAACAUCUUGAGACAUAAAUAAUGUUUUCAUUUUUAUGCACCAAAAAUCAUAGUUUUCUCCUUCAAAUAAUGGAAUAGAAAGAGGCAUGAAAACUCAUACUUGUAAGAUUUGUGUUGGCCAUUGAUCUACUCUUCAAAUCCUUGGUCCUUCUACUUCAAUGUUGAGGGUUUCUAGCUACAUAAUCUGCUUGCAAAACAACAACAACACUUGCUCUUCAUUUUAUCUUUCCUUGUUUGCCUUCAAAUUUUGUUGCUUCAAUGACCGCCAAUUCAAUUAUAUUGUGGGUUUGGAUUUGGGUCUUCAAGUGAAAAGAAACCCUAGAAUCCUCCUUCUCCAAAAUAGUGGAUAUUUCUUAAAAUUCCAUACAUAAGAGACAUGUUGCAAUAGAUAAGAGGACUUGAAAAAGAGAGAUAGUAUAUAUAUGUUGGUGAGACACCCUGAAAUCUGGGAACAAAAAACUGGAAACAACAAGUUCUUUGAUACUAGUUCUUUUGAUUGAAAGGUGGGUUCAUGAAACGGGUGACUUUGAUACUAGUUCUUUUGGUUAUAGUUUCGACUUGAAAACAGAGGAUGGAUACUGAAAGAAAAUGGAAGAGUAACAGCCGGAAACAAAGAAGUAAAACAGUCCCCCAUAAAACAAAGUUCUUUUGGUUAUAGUUUUUCACUUCGCAUUUCUCUCUUGGAUUUUUUUAUUUUUUUAUUUUUGUUAUAGUUUGCAAGCUACAAAACCAGAUGUUAAUAAAUUUAACUUGAAUAAAUCUCUCCACAUGGGAGCAUAACAACCACUCAAAACAUAAAAAACAAAAAACUAAUUUUUAUAUAAAUGCAACCCAAAUAUGGAAUAGGCACCUUGUGUUACAUCCGUGCUGCUUGUGCAUGCAGCCGUAUUUGCAAUGAUAGCAAGUCUCUUAAUCUCUUUAGUUUGAGUUUGAUAUUUAGGAUUGGGAUUAUAAUUGAAUAAGAAUGAAGGUAACUAGAAAAGUAAAAUCCAAAUGAUGAGAGUGAGUUUGGAUUUCCACGAGAUUCAAUUUGUCAUUCUUAUUCUUAUUCUCAUUUCUAGAAAACGGUCUAAAUGCAGUAAUAAAAAUGACGUGUGGAAAAGUGGGUUUCAUGCAUAAAUUUAAAAAAAAAAUAAAAGAUAAAAACAAGUAAAAUAAAAACUCCUAAAAAUAAUUCAAAUUUUAUGUAUUUUCAAGUAAAAAAUACUUACGAUCGAUGAUCAAAUUUAGUACCUAUGUCAUAUCUAGAUGGUCAAAUUAAGAUAAUACUUUUGAUCAAAAGAUGCACAAAAUCCUAAUUAUUUUUAGGUAAUUAGUAUAUUAAACUUAAAUUUUACAAAUUCUUUGUAUAAAAACAACCUUUUUUGCUUUAUCUGAUUCUAUUCUAUAUUCCAUCAUUUCAAACAUGGGGAAUGAUAAUAUUGUGAGUUAUAUGAACGUAUUAUUGGUCUUCAGUUUCGGUUCUGAAUUUUAUAGUGACAACUACAUGGGAACACAUAAGCAUAAUCAACACAAGGAUAAUAUUUGAAGGACACUCCGACAUCUAAUAGCAAUCACCAUAUAGAGUACAUGGACCCGGAUGGAAAUCAAUGGACAAUAGCAUUCACCAGCACCUCAAGUUUGCAAGCUGGCUUCCUUCCACAUCAUGUGGAUGCAAUGAGGCAAUCAAAUUUUGUUACAUCACACGGAAAAACAGGAAGGGGAAAACAAAGAAAACAAAAUAAAUGAACACACGCAUGAUAUUAUUUCAGUCGCAAGCAACCUGCAUGCAUCAUAUGAAAAACAGAAGCAGAGGCUUAGUAGAGUGCGCUUAUGGCGUUCUCGUCAUGGCAGCACCCGAAAGUGAUGUACUUCUCCAUGAUCCGGAGGCACUCUGGGCACCUGAUCUUCUCUGGAAUCCUUCCAACUUCGCUCGGGAACUCAAAGCGGCAGCAGGGCUGAGAAUCGCUAUGAAGCUUGCUAUGGAAAUCCAUGCAAGCAAUAUCGAAGCCCUUUGGAGGCACGUCGUCUUUCCAUAAAUUGUACUCGGUAAAGGUGGGCAAAACAGUGCUGCUGUGGCCAUUGACGAACACAAAAGACCCCUUGCUCAGUACAGCCCAUCCUCCUUCUUUGUCAUAGCUGAGAAGUUUCUUGAUUUCCCGCAACAUGGAGUCAUCAUCGUCGCCCCUCCCUAGCUGGAUCUUGGAGAACAACAUGCUUUCCAAUCGGGUCCAGAAGAACCAAACCAUGGUGAGGUCUUGCCAGCAGUAGCUGAGAUUAUCCGUGGUGAUGCUUGUUAUGCAUUUCCGAACUUGCUCUCUCUUGUUGCUCUUUCCCACGUACACCAUCUCUAAGGGGAUCCGUGCAGCCGAUGCAACUGCCCUUGCUGUGGUUGUGAAUUUUCUGAUCCACUCCAUGUCAGUCCCUCCAUACAAGUAAAUGAAUUUUCCUUCUUUGACCUGAUGGAACAAAAACAUUCCCAGGGUAUUUUAAAAAUGUUCACGAUUGGUCUCGUAUUAGGGAAAAGUGAGGUCAUUCAUGCACAUCUAAAUAUGUAUUUAGAUUGGUAAAGGUGAAUUACCCAGUUCAGUACAGUUGGGUCAAUGCCAUCCACCAGCAGCUCAAGCCUCCAAGUCUCUUCCUUCCACAGAGCUUCCUCCCUCAAACUGGUGAACGGAAAGGCGGUACUCCCCCAUAUCCACAUCAUGUGGAUUGCAUUAGGGCUCACCACUCUUCCUUGUGGAUCUAGCACCACAAGGAUGGGCUUGUUCCGGAAGUGCCACACCUCCUUGAUGAACCUGAUGACUGCCUUAUCAAUCAGUGUAGGAGUGUAGACUGAAUACCAUGGCAUUGUGGCCUGCAGAGUCACAAACCGAUCUUGCAUGGCAUCUGUCCACACAACUGAGCGGUCCACAACUGGGAUCCACACAACUUCGUACUGACUCUCCAUCCUAGUCCCGUGGACCCGAGACUCAUUAUAGAUCUGAUCCAGAAUUGAAAGCUCGUCAUGGGAGAUGGAUAGGCCUGAUAUAAGCAGCAAAACAUUCUUCCUCCUCAGCACAUCUAUGUUAACCUGCGGCAUUAAAGUUAGAACUUUAGGUUAGUAGUAACGAAGUGGAAAAAGAAAAUGCACAUUAGAACUUUUAAGUCGUGGUAAUAAUUUUUUUUUAUAUAUGACAGUUUCAUGGAAUAGUGCUACUGCCAAUGCAGUAAUGCAGUGAUAUGUUUGUAGAGUGAACCCUUCUCUUUGUAGAGCCUUCAAGCAGUGGCUGCACGUCAUCCUUGGGAGAAAUCAGUGCCCUGAGAAUCUUCAUGUUGUCAAUGUGAAUACUCUCAAAAAGAUUCAGAAGCAUUUGAAAAGUUUCAGCAUUCCGCUUAUCAUCUGCAUCAAAACAGCAAUCCCUUGUCAGAUUUAAAAUCCAUUUCAUUGGUAUUUACAUUAGCUGUGCAACACUUGCUUCCAUAAAUUUGGAAAGGGUUGGUGGUCUUACCUAUGUAUUGGUAACAAAGAGUAAGUUGCUUCUUCAGAAGAUCCAGUAUGCUAUUGAUCUUGUGAGCCAUGGUGGACAGUUCCCAUGCCUCAUUUGUAGCAGAUAUCCAGUACCUAAAAUCAUUGCAAUUGUCAUAAGUAAAAUGAUUGUUGCCUAACCAGCAUUCCCAAUGGAUUAAGUGGCAUAUCAUAUAAUUCUUCCACAAAAUCAGAGGCAUUUAUUUUUUGUAUUUGGAAAAUUAGCAAAUGGAAAAGAUAUUUAGUUGGCAGUACUUUGCUUUACUAAGGUUGAAAGAUUGAAGCAUGAUAUAUCAGCAAAGAGACUAUAACAUACUCAUGGCCCAUGCUAGUGAAGGUUGUAAUCUGAGUUGCGCAAGCCACAACACUCCUGAUGGUCCAGUAAACAGCAGUGGGGAUAUGUUUCAUUGCUGUUGCUAAUGCUGGUACGUCCUGGCUUAUAUACAUGGACGGGAGCUCCUUGAACUCAAUAAUGCACCUGGUAAUUGCCACCAUAGCCCUGAUGAGAUUGUUAAGAGCAUCAAACCGUGGUUUUAGUUGACCAGAGUGCUCCAAGAUGGUGGGCACUUGCUUAAGGAUUGCCAUUGAUUUCGCAAGUUGGUUGGAUGAGGAGAUCUGAGCAAGGAGCCAGAAUUCACCAUAGUUCACAGCAAAAGCUGAUAGGGUUAGCACCAGCUUUGCUUCCCAUGAAUAGCUUGUUAACAGGUUAAAUAUAGAGAGUGUCAUUGCAUGAGCGUCACCUCCGCCCAAACUCUUGUAUGCUAUCUGAAU
rnacentral:lncRNA from 1 species